CCUACGGGUGGCUGCAGUGGGGAAUAUUGGACAAUGGGCGAAAGCCUGAUCCAGCCAUGCCGCGUGUGUGAAGAAGGCCUUCGGGUUGUAAAGCACUUUCAGUGGGGAAGAAAGCCUUGGGGCUAAUACCCUCGAGGAAGGACAUCACCCACAGAAGAAGCACCGGCUAACUCCGUGCCAGCAGCCGCGGUAAUACGGAGGGUGCGGGCGUUAAUCGGAAUUACUGGGCGUAAAGCGCGCGUAGGCGGUCUGAUAAGCCGGUUGUGAAAGCCCCGGGCUCAACCUGGGAACGGCAUCCGGAACUGUCAGGCUAGAGUGCAGGAGAGGAAGGUAGAAUUCCCGGUGUAGCGGUGAAAUGCGUAGAGAUCGGGAGGAAUACCAGUGGCGAAGGCGGCCUUCUGGACUGACACUGACGCUGAGGUGCGAAAGCGUGGGUAGCAAACAGGAUUAGAUACCCGAGUAGU
rnacentral:rRNA from 1 species